CAUCUCUCGUCUUGGCGCUUCCACUGGUGAAUGUGGUUUGUGUAUGUUACGAGAGGAAAAGUAGUGCCUAACGGCUUUCGGAUCUCCUUCGGUGUUUGUCUUGAAUCUCGACAAAUGUCAUCCUCUGGGUUCGAGACAAUA
rfam:Caenorhabditis brenneri strain PB2801 C_brenneri-6.0.1_Cont1818.1, whole genome shotgun sequence.